CCCAGACUGAUGAACGUGCAUUGCCAAGAUACCAACACUAAUCUGCUGGCUGAGGGCACGUUAGCCUCCAUAAGACCUUUUCCUCUUUGGCUAAUUCUCAGCCAUCUCUCCUUCCGGACAAUGCCUACAGUCCAGCCAUGAAUCCAGCAUGUUCGAAUGCACUGGUGUGAAGAACUUUCUCUCUCCCACUGUUCCUGUGCACGAGCGUAGACGCCACCGGUUGCUGAUUGGCUGGAAAAAUACUGUGGGGAAGGAAUCCUGUUUCAGAGGCUGCCGUUAUGAUGAUUACACUCAUCUUAUCCACUGCACCGCCGGCCAGGACACACAGUUUAUACCCACAUAUAUAGUAGCUGCUUAAUUUCUCUUGCAGGAUUAUUGCAGCCACUUUAAAGUACAUUUCUGAAAAUACCUUUAUAGUAAUAUACUGGAUAAUAAACAAUGUAGAGAAACAGGAAAGAUCAAUAAGAGGGAGGAUAAAAUGCAAUAAAGGUCACCACUUAGGAAUGAGCAUGCAGAAACAAGGCCAAACACGCUGAUAAGAUGAA